rnacentral:rRNA from 1 species
GUGGGGAAUCUUGCGCAAUGGGCGAAAGCCUGACGCAGCCAUGCCGCGUGGAUGAUGAAGGUCUUAGGAUUGUAAAAUCCUUUCACCGGUGAAGAUAAUGACUGUAGCCGGAGAAGAAGCCCCGGCUAACUUCGUGCCAGCAGCCGCGGUAAUACGAAGGGGGCUAGCGUUGCUCGGAUUUACUGGGCGUAAAGGGCGCGUAGGCGGACAUUUAAGUCAGGGGUGAAAUCCCGGGGCUCAACCUCGGAACUGCCUUUGAUACUGGGUGUCUUGAGGAUGAGAGAGGUGUGUGGAACUCCGAGUGUAGAGGUGAAAUUCGUAGAUAUUCGGAAGAACACCAGUGGCGAAGGCGACACACUGGCUCAUUACUGACGCUGAGGCGCGAAAGCGUGGGGAGCAAACAGGAUUAGAUACCCGGGUAGUCC